rnacentral:lncRNA from 1 species
UUCUGACCAUCUUCUCGUAGUAGAACUGAUUGAGAGUUUUUAAGAAGAGCUUGGUCAUCUCUUUCUCUUCUACACGCGGGAUGACUUGGGCAGCGGUAUCCCUCCAUCGCUGGGCAUACUCCUUGAAUGUUUCCUUAUUCUCUUGAGUCGUUGCCUGAAUAUCGCUUCGGUCUGGAGCCAUAUCCACAUUAUAACUGUAUUAUUCCACAAAAGCUUCAGAUAGAUCACGAAAAGUUUGGAUUUUUGUUUUGUCUAGAUUCGUGUACCAUUUUGAGGCGGGACCGGCCAAACUCUCUUGGAAGUAAAAAAUAAGGACCUGAUCGUCCAAAGCAUAUGCAUACAUCCUUCUUACAUACAUUUUCAGAUGUUCCUCAAGGCAGGAGUUCCCUUUAUACUUCUCGAAAUCUGGGAUCUUGAACUUGUGAGGUAUCUGGACAUUCGGCACCAAACAGAGAUUGUAAGCGGUUUUUCCAAAUUUUCCUCUCCCACGGAGAGCCCUCAUUUCUCGAUGCAUUUCAUCAUAUUUUUCCUACAAGUCAUCCACUCUAUCAUCGGCCUCCAUGUUCCCUGAAUGGAAGAUGGGUUCUUCAUUUUAUGGAAUGGUAUGCAUUACAGGUGCUGAGUAAGUCAUGACAACUAGAGGAGUUCUUACAGGAAGCGGAGGAACAUGAGCUGCAUAUUGAUGAGUAUGCAUCUGAGCUUCACAAGCACUAGGGCGGAAUACUUCACUGAGACAAAUAGGGACACCCCAAGGACGACCUUCUGGCAUAGAAUUUGGUGGAGUACUGACAGGUUUUGUCCAUUCAGGGACAAUAGAGACAGUUGCUUCGACCUGAGUGCUGAUAGGAGGAGAAGGUGGUGGUUGAUUCUGUGCAGCCGUCAACGUUUUCAUCAAUUCAAUCAUUUCAUCCAUCUUAGUUCGCAUGGUUGCCACUUCUUCACGGAGCACUUAAUUUUCCUGUUCGAGAAACUCCAUCUUUUCCUAACAAUUGUUCGAGUGUUGUAAAUGCGUGUGGAUUUCAGACGUGGACGCCAUGACUCUUUUGAGAUGGGUUGACCUUUAGUAGAAAAGACAAAGUGUGAGACUCAGACUGGAAAUUAUGAAUGCAAAAUGAUGCAUGAUAUGCUUAUGCAAAAAUAGACAUUUUUUUUAUUUGAAGGACUUGUCAAAGUAAUUGUAGACUUGAUAAGGAACAUUGUUUUAUUUGAAAUUUGUGAAGAUGUUGCAAUUGAUUCCCUUUUCAAAAGUAAGAACGAAACCAAGGAAAAAAGUUCUUAACAAAAGCUAAAGUUUAGUUAAGAUUUUUAAAGUUGUAUUUCUUGGUGUUCCUUCUUACAAGGACCAUAUCAUUGAUGUUUACAGGAACUUAUCUAAGUCCUUCGAUAUUAGUGAGAGAAAAAGAAAGUUUUUAUGAAUGAAUGCAUGUAUGCAUAAUUAUGCUAAAGAACAUGGAAUGCAUGGUGAGGUUAAGUCCACAAUGUUGGAGCCAAGGAUAACGACGCCAUUUGGUAAGGACUAUGGUUUCAAAUUGCACUUGUAACAAAGGUUCUACCAAGUUCCCAAAUUACAACUUCCAAUAACAUCCAUAAGUAAGUCUAGUUUGAGUGUAAUAUCGCGUGUCGACCAAAGUCAAGAAUGCUCUUGGUUUAGCCACCGCACUACGUCCUAAAAAGGCCAAGAUGGGUUAAGGGUUACUAAGGUUUCUCAACUUCGAUGGUCAUUCAAAAAUAAUAGCGUCAAUCACGACUGCUCAUGGUCACAUCGUAUUACUUUGAGACCUCCGUUGAGUGGGAUUAUACCACAUGCACACAUAGCACAGGACCGCUCCUGGUAUGGCACUAUGGUUGUACCCCGUCCUAUCUUAUAUUUCUCUCAAGCCCGGGUGUAGGACUUAUCUCACCACUCACGUUUAGAAAGAAGAAAGUAGAGGGAGGACAUAUAUACACGUAUUUCCAUCUUUUAUUUUUGUUUUUGUUUAUUUUAAGCAAGUUAUAGCACAAAGAAUUAAACAAAGCCAAGUUAGGCUCAACCCUCUUAGGGAGGUCCCCAGUGAAGUCGCCAUUUCUGUCGCAUCAUUUUUCGGAGAAGGCUAUUUGAUUAGCUUUUGACUCAACUUUAUUAUUUCACAACUGAACAUUUUUAUUUGUUUAAGAAAAGGGGAAAAAAGUUCAAACUACCCCUAUUUGAAAAGAUUUAGGAUUCGGGGGUUAGUUACAUAAAGGGAAGGGGAAGGUGUUAACACCCUUUAUGUCCGUAGUACUCUACGGGAACCUCUUGGUUUUUAUUUAAUUUUCGUGCUAUAAACUUGCUUGCUUUUGAAAAAAGAAGUUAAUGUGACGAUUAAAAGAAAGUGAGACCUAAUUUAUCUACAUUUUUUAUUGUUUGGAAGGACGAAUGUCCCGUACCUACGUACCCGUGAGGGAUCAAAACCUCGGGGUAGAAAUUGAUGUUUGAUUUGUUUUUGUGUUUUUUAUUAGUUUUGAAAAAAGUUUUUAAAUUGAAAAGCCAAAUGGCAAAAUAAAUUUGUUUGUGUUUUUUAUAUUAAAAGAAAAUGACUUAAAGUAUGAUUAAAGUUGAUUGCAAUUUUGAUUUAAGAAAAUAAAAUAAAAGACGGUCACUUGAUUUAAGAUCAAGGUUUAUUGUAAAAAAGUUUUUUUGUGAUUUUUGUUAUUUGCAUGUUUUUUUUGUUGUUUUUGAAUAAAAGCUAAACUAAAAAUGGAAACUAACGGAGCAAGGAAAUUAAAAACGUUUGUAACCUAAGCUAGAAGCAUAAAAUAAAGCAUACACCCACACACACACACACCCAUGCACCUAAACUAUUACAAAAAAUCCUAUUUACAUUCUAAGGUCUGCAGAAAAUAAAUGACAAGAAAAGUAAGUAAAUUAUUUACAUCAAAGCCUAAUUUACAUUCUAACAUCCUUGCUAUAAAAUAAAUGACAUAAAUAAAUAAACAUGCAUGAGAGAAUAUAAAAUAAUAAUUACAAUGCUAAAAGAUAAAUAAAAUGCAUGAAAUAAUAAAAAAAAAGGUUCAAUCACAAGGUGGGGGUGUGCAGCAGCAUUCAGGAGGUGCAGAAAUUAAAAAAAGGAACUGGGCUUCAGCAGCAAGUGGGCGCGCCAAUGGGCCUUGUGGGUCAACAUACACCGGUUCAGGUCGGUUCAAGGUCGAACCGGUUCGACCUAGUACUAUAAAUCAGCAAACGCCGGUUUUCUUUCAUUUCUUAGAUCCCCUUCUCUCUCUUCACACAUUUCUAGAGAGAUAAGCUCUCUCCUCUCUCUAAUUUUCUAUCUUCUUCUCCGAUGUGGAGAAGGUGGUCGAAGCGACUUCCGGUGCGGUGGCCGGCGAGCCAUCGCGGCGCCGCCGCCGCACCGGAGCUAAAAAGCUUUUUUUUCUUUUAAAUUUUCGGCUUCCUUCUUCUCUUCCCUUCCUAGUUUUCGUUUUUUCACUCACAAUUCACAAAUGAUAGUUUCAGAACCCUAGAUCUAAAAGUUAAGAUAUCCUACCUUUCUCCUAUGAACUUGUACGGUUCGAGCGGAUGCCCUUUGGUUUUGGAUUUUGAUGGCCGAACCGGUUUGAGUGGCGCCUCUUGCAGUUUCGUGCUGGUUGGAUUUCGGUCCGAUCUGCUUCUUCUCUGUUCGAUCUGUUUUCCACUGUGUGUGUGCGUUGCUGGCUUUCUCUUCUGUGUUUCCUGCGUUUGCUCCUCGUCCGAUCUGCUUCAUGUGCGUCUCCGGCUUCUUUUAUCCGCGUCUCUCUGGCUUCUGCGCGUUUCAUGUGUGUUUUCUUGUGUUGUGCAGGUUGUGUAUUUAUAGUCUCAGGUUUGGGACUUGGGUUUGUUGAGAAUGAGCAAGAAAUUUGGUUUUGGAUUGGAAUGAAUCGGAUUUAGAUGAUGAAACGCGUUUCUGACUUUGGCUGGGAAGUGGAUUUCGCGUGAGACUGGCUGUUUUUUUGGAUCAGGACCAUUUUUUGGAUUUUUAUCAGAUAAAGAAAAAAAAUAAUAAAAGAAAAGAAUAUACAGACUUGACCAUUUGGACUUAUCUAAAAAGAAAAAUGAAAUAAUUAAAUAAAUAGAUAAAGACUUAACAUAAUAAAAUUAAAAUUAAAUGAUUUGAAAAAAAAGAAUAAAAGAUGGAAAUUUUAACUAAAAAUAAAUAAAAAAUAAAAUUAAAAGAAGAGGCCCCCUACUUGAAAAGUCAAAUAUGGAUCAGAGUCAAAUAACGCAUGUCGAUGGGACCUUAUGUAAAAUUGGGGUAUGACAAUGCAUAUACUUCCUCAACUGAGACACAUGAAACACAUUAUGAAGAUUCGACAAAGACGGUGGUAACGCAAUCCGAUACGCUACAACCCCAACCUUCUCAAUAACAUCAAACGGUCCAACAAAACGAGGAGUCAACUUCCUACACAUCAAAGCACGACCAACACCGGUCACAUGAUUCACCCUCAAAAAUACAUGAUCACCAACUUGAAACUCAAUAUCCUUUCUCCUCUUAUCAUGAUAAGUCUUCUGUCUACUCUGAGACGCUUUCAUAUUCUCUUGAAUCAUCUUAACCUUUUCCGUAGUCUCUUGCACAACUUCCGGCCCUAACAAAGCACUUCUCUGGAUUCAAACCAACACAAUGGUGUCCUAUGUAACAGCCCCAUUUUUGGCUAGAUUUAUUUUAAUUACUUUUAUUAUGUGUUUGUGUGUGAUUAUUUGUGCUUGUGUGUAUUUAAUUGUCAUCGGGUGUAUUUACGUGGAUUACCGUAUUAGAAGGGUAUUUUGGUAAUUUUGUAAGGAUGGGUAAAAUUAUAAUUUUUAGUGGGAAUUACUUUUAGUAAUUAGUGAGAAUGGUUAUUUCAUUAAGUACUAGAGAAAGUCGAGAUUUUACCGUUAGUGACAUUUUACCGUUAUUAAUUAAAAUAUCNUGUUUAACUCUUUUAAGAUCUUUAUUUGGGGCCUGCGUGCCAAACUGAUUUAUGGUUUAUGAACUAAUAUUCCGCUGCUAUGUUAAGAUAUUAUGUGGAAGUUAAAUUAUUAUUUAACUGUUUUUGGAUUACGUUUUUAUGUGAUAUCACGUUUAUGGUUUUUACUCUGAUAAAAGUUUAAGAAAUUUGUAUAUUGGGAAAACGGGGUGUUACAGGCAGAACUCCUAUUGUCGAGACUUCGACCUCCACGGGAAGCACAACCUUCAUGUUAUAUACUUGAGGGAAGGAGAGGGAUUGCCCCUGUUGAAAUGUGCUCUAAAGCAUGAUAUCCGAGCAAAGCGAAUGGUAGCACCUCGAGCCAGUCUUUGUAAGCGAUUGCCAUCUUCUGGACUAUCUUCAUGAUUUUUGUUUGUAACUUUGACGACUAUACUGCCCCAGUAUGUGAGAGAUCUCAUCAGGAGUCUCUUCAUUCUUUUCUUCAGCUUCGGAUACAAGGAACUCAAAGUUGGAAGAGAGUACAUGGUAAAUGUGUUCAACGGGUUUAUUAAUGCAUGAUUUAUUGUUGACUUUGACAAGUAAAUGAAAGUUAUGAUUAUGCAGACAUUUGACAAUGAUUAUUAAAGCAAAAAGCCCUACAUGAGUUCACUUUCGUCUCGGGCGGGACGAAAGGAUGUUUUUUGAAAAGAUAGUAAACAAACAAACAUAUCAUUGGAGACAAAUCGAGUAGCAGAAAAAAACAUAAACGUCGACCCAAUUGCAGCUACACACUCAUAUUCAAAUUCUUGAAAGGCAAGACAUCGUCGUCGAUACACUUCUGGACUUCAAUCUUCAAGGAGAAACAAUGCUCAACGUCAUGACCUUGUGCCCCUUGAUGAAAGGUACAAUAGAGGUCAGGUCUCCACCUAGCCGGCAAUUUCUUAGGUAUCGGCGGAGGUGGUCUGGUCUGGACAAGGUUCCUCUCAAGCAAAGAAGGAAGCAGCUCCGCAUAUUUCAUAGGAAUCAGAUCAUAUUGUGGUGUUUUCUGAGCCUGAUGAUGUGGAUUGAAUUGCGGAUGAGCCUGUCGUCGAGGAUGACCUUUCACCACAUUCACUUCCUGGUCUUUCUUUUUGGAACUGCCUGCAGGGACACUUUCAUUGACCAAUCGUCCUUCUCGGACUCCUUCUUCCAACUGUACGCCCAUACCAACCAUCUCAGCAAAGUUCUUGGGCGUACUUCUGACCAUCUUCUCGUAGUAGAACUGAUUGAGAGUUUUUAAGAAGAGCUUGGUCAUCUCUUUCUCUUCUACACGCGGGAUGACUUGGGCAGCGGUAUCCCUCCAUCGCUGGGCAUACUCCUUGAAUGUUUCCUUAUUCUCUUGAGUCGUUGCCUGAAUAUCGCUUCGGUCUGGAGCCAUAUCCACAUUAUAACUGUAUUAUUCCACAAAAGCUUCAGAUAGAUCACGAAAAGUUUGGAUUUUUGUUUUGUCUAGAUUCGUGUACCAUUUUGAGGCGGGACCGGCCAAACUCUCUUGGAAGUAAAAAAUAAGGACCUGAUCGUCCAAAGCAUAUGCAUACAUCCUUCUUACAUACAUUUUCAGAUGUUCCUCAAGGCAGGAGUUCCCUUUAUACUUCUCGAAAUCUGGGAUCUUGAACUUGUGAGGUAUCUGGACAUUCGGCACCAAACAGAGAUUGUAAGCGGUUUUUCCAAAUUUUCCUCUCCCACGGAGAGCCCUCAUUUCUCGAUGCAUUUCAUCAUAUUUUUCCUACAAGUCAUCCACUCUAUCAUCGGCCUCCAUGUUCCCUGAAUGGAAGAUGGGUUCUUCAUUUUAUGGAAUGGUAUGCAUUACAGGUGCUGAGUAAGUCAUGACAACUAGAGGAGUUCUUACAGGAAGCGGAGGAACAUGAGCUGCAUAUUGAUGAGUAUGCAUCUGAGCUUCACAAGCACUAGGGCGGAAUACUUCACUGAGACAAAUAGGGACACCCCAAGGACGACCUUCUGGCAUAGAAUUUGGUGGAGUACUGACAGGUUUUGUCCAUUCAGGGACAAUAGAGACAGUUGCUUCGACCUGAGUGCUGAUAGGAGGAGAAGGUGGUGGUUGAUUCUGUGCAGCCGUCAACGUUUUCAUCAAUUCAAUCAUUUCAUCCAUCUUAGUUCGCAUGGUUGCCACUUCUUCACGGAGCACUUAAUUUUCCUGUUCGAGAAACUCCAUCUUUUCCUAACAAUUGUUCGAGUGUUGUAAAUGCGUGUGGAUUUCAGACGUGGACGCCAUGACUCUUUUGAGAUGGGUUGACCUUUAGUAGAAAAGACAAAGUGUGAGACUCAGACUGGAAAUUAUGAAUGCAAAAUGAUGCAUGAUAUGCUUAUGCAAAAAUAGACAUUUUUUUUAUUUGAAGGACUUGUCAAAGUAAUUGUAGACUUGAUAAGGAACAUUGUUUUAUUUGAAAUUUGUGAAGAUGUUGCAAUUGAU